rnacentral:rRNA from 1 species
GAUGAACGUUGGCGGCGUGCCUAACACAUGCAAGUCGAACGUGAAGGUCCGGAUGAUUACUUCGGUUUGAAUCUGGGUUGGAAAGUGGCGAACGGGUGAGUAACACGUGGAUAACCUGCCUCGAAGCGGGGGACAACCAUUGGAAACGAUGGCUAAUACCGCAUAGUCCCAUUUGAAUGAGAGUUGAAUGGGUAAAACUCCGGUGCUUCGAGAGGGGUCUGCGUCCGAUUAGCUAGUUGGUGGGGUAAAGGCCCACCAAGGCGACGAUCGGUAGCUGGUCUGAGAGGACGAUCAGUCACACGGGAACUGAGACACGGUCCCGACUCCUACGGGGGGCAGCAGUGAGGAAUAUUGCACAAUGGGGGAAACCCUGAUGCAGCAACGCCGCGUGGAGGAUGAAGGCUUCGGUCGUAAACUCCUUUUCUGGGGGAAGAGGAAGGACGGUACCCCAGGAAUAAGUCACGGCUAACUACGUGCCAGCAGCCGCGGUAAU